AACGACUCUCGGCAACGGAUAUCUCGGCUCUCGCAUCGAUGAAGAACGUAGCGAAAUGCGACACCUGGUGUGAAUUGCAGAAUCCCGCGAACCAUCGAGUCUUUGAACGCAAGUUGCGCCCGAGGCCAUCCGGUCGAGGGCACGCCUGCCUGGGCGUCACGCCAU
rnacentral:rRNA from 2 species